rnacentral:rRNA from 1 species
AGAGUUUGAUCCUGGCUCAGGAUGAACGCUGGCGGCGUGCCUAAUACAUGCAAGUCGAACGAAUCUCUUUUAGAGAUGAGUGGCGAACGGGUGAGUAAUACAUAGGUAACCUGCCCCUGUGCGGGGGAUAACAGGAGGAAACUCCUGCUAAUACCGCAUAGCCAUGAGCACCGCAUGGAGCUCAUGCCAAAUAUCCUUUCGGGGAUAGCGCAGGGGAUGGGACCUAUGGCGCAUUAGCUUGUUGGCGGGGCAACGGCCCACAAGGCAACGAUGCGUAGCCGGCCUGAGAGGGCGACGGCCACAUUGGGACUGAGACACGGCCCAGACUCCUACGGGAGCA